UACAGAGGGUGCGAGCGUUGUUCGGAAUUAUUGGGCGUAAAGGGCGCGUAGGCGGUGCGGUAAGUCACCUGUGAAAUCUCCUGGCUCAACUGGGAGCUUGCAGGCGAAACUGCUGUGCUGGAGUGUGGGAGAGGUGCGUGGAAUUCCUGGUGUAGCGGUGAAAUGCGUAGAUAUCAGGAGGAACACCUGUGGCGAAAGCGGCGCACUGGACCACAACUGACGCUGAGGCGCGAAAGCUAGGGGAGCAAACAGG
rnacentral:rRNA from 1 species